rnacentral:rRNA from 1 species
CCCCGGUCUAACCACCGGGAUGUUCAUAACCCUUUGUUGUCCGACUCUGUUGCCUCCGGGGCGACCCUGCCUUCGGGCGGGGGCUCCGGGUGGACACUUCAAACUCUUGCGUAACUUUGCAGUCUGAGUAAACUUAAUUAAUAAAUUAAAACUUUUAACAACGGAUCUCUUGGUUCUGGCAUCGAUGAAGAACGCAGCGAAAUGCGAUAAGUAAUGUGAAUUGCAGAAUUCAGUGAAUCAUCGAAUCUUUGAACGCACAUUGCGCCCCCUGGUAUUCCGGGGGGCAUGCCUGUUCGAGCGUCAUUUCACCACUCAAGCCUCGCUUGGUAUUGGGCAACGCGGUCCGCCGCGUGCCUCAAAUCGACCGGCUGGGUCUUCUGUCCCCUAAGCGUUGUGGAAACUAUUCGCUAAAGGGUGUUCGGGAGGCUACGCCGUAAAACAACCCCAUUUCUAAGGUUGACCUCGGAUCAGGUAGGGAUACCCGCUGAACUUAAGCAUAUCAAUAANNCGGAGGAA